GGGUGGGGGCGGGACUUGUUGCUAUAGGCAACGAAUCCCCCCGCCCGGGAAGGAGGGAGAGGUGACGUCACCGGGUGCCGCAGGUUCAGCCCCUGCCACCUGGCCUGUGCGGGCUCCCGCCUCCGUCCAAUCGUAUUUAAUAACCAUAGUCUGGAGCCGUGAUUCCUGCUCACCGAAGAGUUCUACCGUCUGGAGCCGAAGACAGACGUUAAAAGACAUUGAAAAGAGAGAAAGAAUCUUGAACAUCCACCAAGACAGAAGCAACAAGACGGAAAAAGCUACAGUGGAGAUUCCAUGCUCCCAAACAGCCUUUCUCCAACUCCCACAAAUUGCCUUGAAGAAGUCUUUUCUUGCAGUAUUUUCGCUCUGCCCCCUGGUAAGCAGGAGAUCUGCCAGGAACUUUAGUCAAAAGAUAAAGCCCUCCUCGAAGCAUUUUUGCAGGAAAACCAAAACAAACAGAACAGUAAGGCAUUUUCCCAAAAAUAAAGCAAAGCAGGGCAACUUUCA